AACAGAGAGAGAGAGAAAGGACAGAAAACACUUGUGAAACAGGGUAUUUCCCCCAACCCCUUCACAGGACUCACAGCAGGGGUGCCUUGUUUACCCAGCCUGCAGUUUUCAACUCCUCAUGGGAGGGAGCAUGCAAGUGAACAAAGCGGGAACUGGAAUGCAUGAAUGCUGGAAUCAGCUGUCCACUUCAGCCCCAGCAGAAAUGAACUCCACUCACUUGGACUCACUGCACUCCACCCGUCAUGGGAGGGAGUGCACAGAAGACUUUUGAGGAUAAAGAAAGGAUGAAAAUUCUCCAAGAAAAUGGAGCACCAAGACUGAUGUUGCACGAAAUGCCAAAAUUUUGAAGAAAAUUCCAUCAACAACAAGAUCUAUAGAGAGGAAUAGAGAAAUAUAAUCAGAAGCACUCACAGAUUUUGCUGCUUGAAGGAGCAAACCCACUCCCCUGAGAAGACAGACUGGGGCUUCUUUCCUCCCCCAUGGCCUGCUUCUUGAACCAGCAUUCUGAAUCUGAAGUAUUAACCUGAGAAUUGGCUGUCCUUCUGUGCACACAUGCUACAUUUUGAGGUGACCUGAAUACUAUCUGCAACCCCCUCAAUUAACAAUUCCUUUUGAAGCCAUGUAUUAGACUGCACAUUUAAAUAUAAGAGAAAAAUUAAAAAGAUGGGCAGUGGUAUCUAGAUCCAGGGAAGCUUAGUUACAAUGAAUAAAGAAGAGUAGGUGGAAAGAAACCUGAAAUGUGGUUCAAUUUUCCCAUGUUUUUAGCUCAAUGACUAUCAUCCCAGUGCCUUUCAACAUGUUAUAGUCCAUACCGUCUUCAAUGUAUUCUGACCUAAUUUUAGUGUAUUUCUACCUAACCUUGAUUUUGCCAGGGUUAGCAUAGUUUAGUUAUAAUCACAUGAAAUAUGAUUUUUCAAGGAGGAUAUCCUCUCCCAAAUAGUAUAUGCACUUGACCCCCAUCCUUACUGUGCAAAUAUGGAACACAGAGCUAGACAAGGAAAAUUGGGUUAAGCACUGAUCUUAUCAGUGUUCUUUAGGUUUCAAUCAGAGACACAGAGGAUUCUAUUAACCCCCAACUCCACCAUCAGUAGGAGGAACAAGGAAAAUCUAGAUACCCUGACCAUUGACAAACACAAGAACUAUACAUGCAUUCCCUCAUUUGAGAUAAAGACAAGAGAAAGAUACAGUGUGGAAUAAAUGGUACAUCAUCCUGAAAAAAAAAUCUUUGGAAAUGACUUCACAAGAAUUCUUAAAAUGUAGUAAAGUGCUCUAUGUCUUCAAUAUGAUAGAAACAUUUAUGAACUCCAUGAAUCAGGAACUACAGGAAUAAAAAGAGACUGUGUUGAGAGGAAAAGGAGUUGGGUGAAUCAAGGUGGAGUAGCAAUCAUAAAACUUGAAUCAGUGUUGGGAGCAGUAAAGAACGAACUGAUGUUGUGGAAAAUUAAAACACUAAUAUGGACCAUAAUAUUGAGCUUUCCUGGAAUGCAGAUGAAAAGGAUAAAUACCGAAAAAAAAGUAGUGAGAAAAGAUGAAGAUACGGAAUUUAGAAGAAAAAAGCUAACCUGAAUAUAACUAAUGUUCUCAAAGAAGAGACAAGACAAAAAUUAACUAAGCAAUGAUAAACUUUAAGCAAUGAUAACUUUCUUGUAUUGAAGACCUAUGUAUUAGUCUGGGUUCUCUAGAGGGAAAGAACUAAUAGGAUAGAUGUAUAUAUAAAGGGGAGUUGAUUAAGGAAUAUUGACUCACACUGUCACAAGUUGAGGUCCACAAUAGGCCAUCUGCAAGCUGAGGAGCAAGGAAGCCCGUCCGAGCCCUAAAGCUGAAGUACUUGGUGUCCGAUGUUCAAGGGCAGGAAGCAUCUAGCAUGGGAGAAAGAUGGAGGCCAGAAAACUAAACCAGUCCUGUCUUCCCACGUUCUUCUCCCUGCUUUUAUUCUGGCUUUGCUGGCAGCUGAUUAGAUGGUGCCCACCCAGAUUGAGGGUGGGUCUGCCUCUCCCAGUCCACUCACUCAAAUGUUAAUCUCCUUUGGCAACACCCUCACAGACACACCCAGGAAAAAUACUUUGCACCCUUCAAUCCAAUCAAGUUGACACUCAGUAUUAAUCAUCACAACCUAUAUCUUCAGAUCCAAUGAACCUAGGUAAAAGUAAAAAAAAAAAAAAAAAGAUUUGCAUAAAGACAUAUGAAGAUGAUAUUUAAAUGUGAAGACAAACAACAUGUCCUGAAAGCAUCUCAUACAGGAGAAAACAAACAUUACUUCCAAAGGAGCACAUCAGGUAGGCCUGAGACUUCUCUUCACCAAUUUCAAAUGUCAGAUAACAAUGACAGAAUUGUUACAGAGAUCUGGAAGAGGAGAAAAAAUACUCAAGAGUUUUAUACUAAAGCAAGUAGUCUUUCAUAUGUGAUCACACAACCAAAAACUCUUCUUAGAUAUGCUAUUAGAGAAUAACACAUACUUCAUAAGUCAUUGUGAAAAUUGUAUGAAGUCAUGAAUGAGAGAAAUGAACAUUUGACUACUACCAAGUUCUGCAUAAAUGUAGGUUCCUAUUACCUGACUGGCAUUUGUAGAUGUUUACUAAAAUCAAAUAGGAAGGGGGCAUGUGAUUUAACAGGCUUUUCUUAAUCCUUGCUCAAUCUCAGAGAGGGAUGCCUGCUUACAAGCAGAUACCUCACACUGAGCAGGAGGACUUGUUUUCUGGUGCUGAAACCUUGGUCAAGUGACUUAGACUUUCUGAGCUUCCAUUUUUGUCUUCUGUAAAAUAAGUUAUUGGGGCUAAAAUUUUCUUCUAGCUUUACUAUUCCAUGUUGUUUAAAAGUUUAAAGAUCUAUAAGUGGGGCAUUAUAUUAGUAGAAGUUACACUUUAAUAUUCUUUUAUUUUCUAUGUUUUUACUUUAGAGACAUAAAGCUUACUUUAGGAAGAUAUGCUGGAUAAAUGAAUAGAGCAGAUUUCAAAUAAGUAACAUUUGGAUUUUGUUUGACUGGUCAAAAAGGACCAGGGAAUGGGCACAUUUAAAAAUGCAAAAGGCUUGGGAGGCCGAGGCGGGUGGAUCACGAAGUCAGGAGAUUGAGACCAUCCUGGCUAACACGGUGAAACCUCGUCUCUACUAAAAAUACAGAAAAAUUAGCCAGGCAUGGUGACUGGCGCCUGUAGUCCCUGCUACUCAGGAGGCUGAGGCAAGAGAAUGGCGUGAACCCGGGAGGCGGAGCUUGCAGUGAGCCGAGAUCCUGCCACUGCACUCCAGCCUGGGCGACAGAGCUAGACUCCGUCUCAAAAAAUAAAUAAAUAAAUAAUGCAAAAGGUAAAAAUUAUUAAACAAAUAGGUUAUGCGUGUAUAUACAAUGCUUUAGCAGUUAUAUUUAAGGCCAGAUAAAGAUUUGAAAUGCUCCAGCCCACAAUACCAUAAUAUUCAGCAUGGGUGGGAGGGGAUAUGGCUGUAAUGGGGUUAAAGAGGAGCACAGUAAAGUUUGUUAAUGGAAUCUCUGCGUGGACGGUGUUGAAACUUAAAGCACAUUAAUAAUAAAAGCCCUGCUUUAAAAACUGA